rnacentral:rRNA from 1 species
GAUGAACGCUAGCGGGAGGCCUAACACAUGCAAGCCGAGCGGUAUUGUUUCUUCGGAAGUGAGAGAGCGGCGUACGGGUGCGUAACACGUGUGCAACCUGCCUUUAUCUGGGGGAUAGCCUUUCGAAAGGAAGAUUAAUACUCCAUAAUAUAUUGAACGGCAUCGUUUAAUAUUGAAAGCUCCGGCGGAUAGAGAUGGGCACGCGCAAGAUUAGCUAGUUGGUGAGGUAACGGCUCACCAAGGCGAUUAUCUUUAGGGGGCCUGAGAGGGUGAUCCCCCACACUGGGACUGAGACACGGACCAGACUCCUACGGGAGGCAGCAGUGAGGAAUAUUGGUCAAUGGGUGCAAGCCUGAACCAGCCAUCCCGCGUGAAGGACGACUGCCCUAUGGGUUGUAAACUUCUUUUGUAUAGGGAUAAACCUACCCUCGUGAGGGUAACUGAAGGUACUAUACGAAUAAGCACCGGCUAACUCCGUGCCAGCCGCCGCCGUAA